CAGCAUUUGCUCCAAUGAUAGGUUGCAUUGGUAAACUAGAUCGUUAUAACGAACAUAGAAUUCGCUAAAUGCUGACUUUAAACGAGACUGUUGAAACCCCUGUACCAUUAACUUGUUUGCCAGUAGCCUGCCUCGAUUUAAAAACUGACCAUACGUAGAACAAUCCCUUGCGUGUUGAAUCAGUUGAAAGAUAUAACACCAUAUGCAGGUGAUAAUGGAAUAUUGCUACAUAAAUAUUGGGAAGUUGACGAUGAAGAAGCUGAAAUCAUACCGUUUGUCAUAAAGUUGAGUUGUUAGUUUGCCGUGAACUUCCACUUUCCAUAAAAUAUCUAAGUAUGAAGAGAAGUGGACGACACCGUGGUGUCUUUUAUUUCGAGUUCACGGGGAUAUAUCAAAUCGACAUAUGAAUGAAAGUUAUUAAUGUUAAUAGACAAAACGUCGUCGAUGUAUCUAAAUGUCGAAUUGAAGGCCAUAGCAAGAGAAUUUUUCUUCUCACAAAGAAGUUUUGAAUAAAUUCUGCUUCAAAGGAAUAUAAAACAGGUCAGCUACUGUAACAAUGUAGCACAAUCUGUGCCUAUGGGAAUUCCAAAAGACCUGAUCACCAAAGACCAUGACGAUAUUGUCAAUGAGGAACUCCAACAUAUUUUUUUUAUUUCAACUUCAGAGUACUUGUGCGUGAAAUCAGAGUGGUGUUCAAGUAAUUUUUUGAAUGACUGAUCACUAGAUAUGAAUAUUUGCGUUUUCUAUUUUUGUUGAAGAAGCAACUGUCUAUGAUGUCCGAAAGUCGAGUCUUUAAUUUAUCGCGAGGAAUGGUUGUGUAAAGUGUUGAAAAGUCAUACGUUUUGAUGUUGAUCUGAGGAAAGUUUUGCGAUUUCAAGUUUGCUAAAAGUUCAUUAGAACUUUUUAGAAUCCUCAUUUGAUUUACAACAUAUCUGGCAUAUGUAGUGGCACAGUACGUUUGAAGUUUCUCCUUCACAGCUGUUAAUAUUUUCGUGAGGAGUAAAGAUAUAUCCCAGUGAACUCGAAAUAAAAGACAACACAGUGUUUUCCACAUCUGCUUGGUACUUAGAUAUGUUAUUGAACAUAGUCAUUAACGACACACUAACAACUCAACUGUAUGACAAACGGGAUGAUUUCAGCUUUUCCAUCGUCAACUUCCCAAUAUUUAUGUAGCAAUAUUCCAUUAUCACCUGCAUUUGGUGUUAACCUCUCUCAACUGAUUGGAUACGCAAGAGCUUUUUUUUUUUAAAUCGAAUCGGGCUACUGACAAAUAAGAUAUCGUGACAGGGGUUUCUACAGUCUCCUUGAAAGUCAGCAUGUCGCAAAUUCUAUAGUUGUUAUAACGAUCUAGUUUGCCAAUACAACUUGGCAUUGGGUCAUAUGCUGUCUGACGUUCUUGAACCAUUCUUUGCACACUGGUUUCGACUACGGGUUGCUUUGUUUACCUGAUCAAGAUAUAGGGCUCACGGCGGGUGUGACCGGUCCACAGGGGAUGCUUACUCCUCCUAUGAACCUAAGCCUACCUCUGGUAUAUUCAGGGGUCCGUGUUUGCCCAAAUCUUCAUCUUAUGUUCCUUAUAGAAGUUAUGAGAUUGACAACUGUUCGUUAUCUUCACAUUUUUCUUAUAUUCUACUAAUACUCUGUAUAUUCUAUGAAUAAUCUGUAUAUUCUAUUAAAACUCUGUAUACUCGAUUAAUGUUCUGUCCAUUCUAUCAAUACUCUGUAUAUUCUAUUAAUACUCUGUAUACUAUAUUAAUACUCUUUGUAUUCUAUUAACACUGUAUGUCCUAUUAAUACUUUGUAUAUUCUAUUAAUACUCUUUUUAUUCUAUUAAUAUUCUGUACAUUCUAUUAAUACUCUGUAUAUUAUAUUAAUACUUUGUAUAUUCUAUUAACACUCGGUGUACUCUAUUAAUACUCUGUAUAUUACAUGUAUAUUAAUACCAUCUCUAAAAUUCCGUUUGCAACACAGAGAAAUAAGACCCCCCUGCGGUUUGUCACUGUCCUAUAACAAAGUUAUUUCAACAAUACGGUAUCAGUAUCUAUUGGGGGAGAUUAAGAAUAUUCGGGGCGUAUAAAGACCAAUGUCAAAAGAAUGCCAUUUGUUAUUUUUCCUAGUUACUUUACCGUGAAGAGAAUCCAAAGUUCACAUUUAUAAUUAGAAUGUGCAAUCUUAAAUGUGAACGUGUCCCAUGAGAAGAAUUAGGCCCAUUAGGACAAAUCUACUUCUUUUCAAUAAAACAAUUCUAAUGCUGAUACAAUAACAGAAAAAUUACCCAGGCUUAGCCGUAAAUUCUGCAAGAAAAAUAUCAUGUACUUCAUUAACAGAUGCGUGUUAAAUCAUAGGUAUCAUAGAAAUCUACAUGUAUCCGAUUGAACAAAUGAGAGUGGUUUUUGUAUGGCGGUCUUCUUAACAGAAGUUGUUUACAUUUGUUGUUUUUUUUUAAAUUUGAGAAUGCAAAAUCCGGAGAUAAAAAAAGAAAAGCAAGCCUGUUCAUGAUAAAUACUAGGACUUUAUUUCGAUAAAUGGAAAGUGUUACACAGAGACAUUUCUAUUUUAUAGUAGUUUGAUAUACGGUUGAGUUAUUCGAAGAAGCCCUCAUAUUGUGUGUAAUGGGGCCCUAUACGGCUCAGUGAAGGAACAGAUCUAUACUUGUCUUCUUUAUUCUAAUGAAAAGUUCACAAUUAUAUAUAUUAAUAUAUAUGUAUAUACCAUUGACAACUUAACACUUAAUGAUCAAGUAGCUGUCACAAAAUCACGUGACGUACGUAGAAUAUCAAGCUAAAAUUCAAUUUGACCACAUGACCAAGAAAAAAAAUCACGUGAUCCCAAAAGUUGAUAAAAUAUCAACUUUGUUUUACAUGUCAACACAUAGCGAUAAAACAUAUAUUGAAAUUAUUUCAAUAUGAAGCCGAUUUUAGUAAGUUUAUCCAAGCUAAACGUUGAAAUCAUUUCAAUGCGACAAAGACAUUAAAAAUCUACCGAUUACAUCUCAUAUGGACUUCAAAGAAAUGAAGCUAUUCUCGACACGGUCAUUUUUUAUGACAAACAACACCAAUAUAAAUAUCAGCUUAAAUAUAUAUUCAUAUCCAGAUUUAUCUGUGAACUGUGUGUUACAUAGAGUCAAAAAUUAUUCAGAAAACUGACUUGAAUUAAUCACAGAUUGAUAAAUGAUUCAAAGAAAACAGUAUUCCUAAUUAACUAUGAGUUCCAAAGAAAAACCUGCUAUCUCCGACAGAGGUAAUAAAAAAUAUUGCACCCACCCCACAUAUACGUAUAAUACAGAUAGUACCUAUAGUGUUGUUCUACCAUCUCACUGACAAUAUUGAUUGAAAAAAGGGUAUAUUAGGAUCAGUCAAUAUAUGUGUUUUGAAACACACAGUACACUAAAAUAAUUUAUAAACAUAACUAUGAUGUACAAUCGAUAAUAGGAAAUGGAAGCGAAUCCAUUUUCUGUUUUACCACAGCACUUUUAUAAACACAUUACACAAUAUAAUCAAUUCAGCCAGGACAAGUGUUGUUGGUUUGCCAUUUCACAGAAAGAUAGUAUGAUGGAGUCUUUACACUGAUAAAGAGUCCACAACAUCAGAAAUUUGCGAAAUAGAAAACAUACAUCAUAACCGUUUUUCAGUGAUUAUGCAUCACUUCAAAAGGGUUAAAGGUGAAUCCAAAAGCAUGACCCUGUUGCUAUAGUUACAUGGUCCCAAUAUGCAAAAAAGCAACAGAGUACAUGCCGUAAUACAGAGACCGGAAGUGGUUGGGAUAAGCGUAAACUAAUUACUAAGUAAAUUCAUGACAAAUAAUACACAUACUUCAUAUCACACAUACGAGGAAAUUGGAACGGGCGUCCACAGUUAGACUAUUUGCCUCCUUUUUGCUUAUAAAUAACACAGACAUUCACUAUAUGGCUAAAUAGCAAGCAGAGGAAACACAUUCGUUCAAACAUGAUUGGAUGACCUACACAACGACAAUACAAAGAAUUGUAAGCAAACACUUGUGGUAUUCGCUUCUCAGAAAAAAAUGUCUAUUUGAAAGGUAUUCUCAUUAAGCCGGAUCUUAUCUAUCUAAAUAAAUAAUUUGAAAAUUGUCAGUUAGCCCUUUAGAUUUCAGUUUACACCAAGAAGACAAUGGUGGAAAUUGUGUUAUAAAUAGACAAUACAAAGAGUUACAGCCACAAAACCAUUGUUACGAAUUACACCAAGUUGGAUGUAUAAGUGUCUUAGCCAUGCAUGAAUCACGUUUUUGACCUCUAUGUUGACAAACACACUAUCGAAGGUACAUAAUCAAAGGCCCAGAGCAUUGUAAAGUUACCAUGGUUAUAAUUUCGUAGUCUACGGUGACUCAAAAUGGUAAAACAUUCUCUCAACUGACGAGCCAUGUCAUGUCUCUCUUUCACUCAAUUGAAACCUAACCUAUCACUUUGUGAAAAUUCUAUCACUUACAUUAUGCAUUCAAUAUUGUAUGUGUGCAUGCACAUUUUCAUAUGUUGUGAGCAGCAAUACCGUCAAAAUUUAAAUUCUGCCAAGAUAAAGAUCUGAGUGUACACUGGCAGUGAAAAAAAAUGUCUGUGACACUCGCAUCUAACAUAAUUGCACAUGAAUCAAGCCUUUGUGAGAUUCAUCAGGCAUACGACAAUCCCAUAUGUUCUCAUGUAUGGUCUUGCUUUUGUUGUGUGUAAGUGUUUUACGUCCAAAAGGCGCGAAAUUUUGGCUCCAUCUAAUACAAGCCACAUCCACGCAGAUUAUUGGCUAUAAUGACGUCAGUAACGGCAUCAAAUACAAACUGGAUGUUAUUGGUAUCUGUUGCGCAUGUCUGGUGGCAGUAUAUCUCCUUCGUUGAACUUUUGUUCUUCGCUUCGAAUUGGGCCUGAAUGUAGGCGGCUGCCUCCUCGUAUGUCUGGUUUCCUACGAAGAAAAUGAAUUUUUGUUUAUGAGCUUAAACCUUCAAUGUCUAAGAUUACCGCUUCAAAACAUUUACGUAUAAUAAGAAAAUAAGUCCAUCUGGGACAUUCCACAAAGCAUAUGACAAAUGAGCACCAAUGUUGAUAUAUCAUCCAGAUCUCCCAUGCGACAUUAAGUAGUACUGCAACACGUUAUAAAAUGUCGAAAAUGCAUACUGCCUUUUCUUCAAUCAAACCUUUAGGUUAAGAACGGAAGAAAAGAAAACAUCUAUCUUAUAGAUAACAAAUAGGACUGGGGCAAAUACUGUAUCCAUUAAAACUUCCGGUCUUGAGAAAUAGAAUUAAAAGAUAGAAUAGAAUAGAAUAUUUAUACAGUGUUCAUUUGGAUCAAUUCUAUUUCUAUGUACAAUUUAUUUUUUUUUUAAAAUUGCUAACUUCACAUAUAGCAUUACAAGAACCGGUAAAGAAGAAAGGCCAAAUUCUCUCUCUCUCUCUCUCUCUCUCUCUCUCUCUCUCUCUUAAUCAUUAGUCAUCUUUGGUGUGUUUUUAAUGCAUUAUAUACUUAGAAAUAAUUUUCAAUGUUGAAUUGAUUCAUGUGAAGAUUGACU